GUGAACGUUGGGCUGAGUCUACUAAGGAGCCCCUCGGUCAGCGGCAUCACUGGUGUCUCACCUCCCAGUUUGCGCAUGCUCCUUCCCUAACCUUUAGACCUUAUGCUCUGACCCUACCGUGUAACCUGUUAGGGCAGCCAUUUUCCAGCUAUGCAGCAGCUGUUUUAGAAGAAACGGUUCUUAAUAAGAUAAGCAUUUCAUUAGAUGCACACGCUUCCUGUUUCAGCGCCUGCCUCACAGGAACAAGACUGGUACCCAGGCUACUCCCAUUUGCCCAUAAUUCGGCUCAUGGACAGCUCAUCCGGUUCAGAACCACUUAGCUUUGCUUGGCUGUUCCGCUGAAGCUAGGCUGUUCAUGAGAAACCCCGCCAUACAAUUGCGGCACCUCGGGGGACCGUAUACAUUUAUGAGAUGAGGUGACUCAACUUCAGGAAGGAAAGAACUCCAACACAUGGUCUGGCAGCUCUGCUUGCAAAGGCAUCGUGGGAGCCCCUCGGUGGCACCUGAAACUGGGCGUCGGAGAGACAGAAGGCAUGAGCCCUUGCCCCAAGAUUGGUUUUGUUUGUUUAUUGUGCCGCUGACCACCUCCAAUCCUGGGUUAUUUCAUCUGUAGAAUAAGGGAAAUGAUGUUUUCUCCUUAAGGUAUUGUAAAGAUUAAACAAGAUAAAUUAUUAUACAA